UACGUAGGGUGCGAGCGUUGUCCGGAAUUAUUGGGCGUAAAGAGCUCGUAGGCGGUGUGUCACGUCGGCCGUGAAAACCUGCAGCUUAACUGUGGGCGUGCGGUCGAUACGGGCAUCACUGGAGUUCGGCAGGGGAGACUGGAAUUCCUGGUGUAGCGGUGAAAUGCGUAGAUAUCGGUAGGAACACCAGUGGCGAAGGCGGUCUCCUGGGGCAUUCUUGACGCUGAGGCGCGAAAGCUGGGGGAGCAAACGGGG
rnacentral:rRNA from 1 species